GUAGCUGAGACAUCGAAGGUGCGUGGCCGUGCCAGCGGCUUUGCGCAGGAUGCGGUACAGCCAGAGCUCGCCGCU